rnacentral:rRNA from 1 species
UACGAAGGGGGCUAGCGUUGCUCGGAAUCACUGGGCGUAAAGGGUGCGUAGGCGGGUCUUUAAGUCAGAGGUAAAAUCCUGGAGCUCAACUCCAGAACUGCCUUUGAUACUGAGGAUCUUGAGUUCGGGAGAGGUGAGUGGAACUGCGAGUGUAGAGGUGAAAUUCGUAGAUAUUCGCAAGAACACCAGUGGCGAAGGCGGCUCACUGGCCCGAUACUGACGCUGAGGCACGAAAGCGUGGGGAGCAAACAGG